GUGAGGAAUUUUCCGCAAUGGGCGAAAGCCUGACGGAGCAAUGCCGCGUGAAGGAUGAAGGCCUAUGGGUUGUAAACCUCUUUUCUCAGAAAAGAAUUAUGACGGUAUCUGAGGAAUAAGCAUCGGCUAACUCUGUGCCAGCAGCCGCGGUAAGACAGAGGAUGCAAGCGUUAUCCGGAAUGAUUGGGCGUAAAGCGUCUGUAGGUUGUUUAAAAAGUAUUCUGUCAAAGAUUAGGGCUUAACCCUAGAUAGGCAGAAUAAACUUUUAAGCUAGAGUUUGGUAGAGGCAGAGGGAAUUCCCGGUGGAGCGGUGAAAUGCGUAGAUAUCGGGAGGAACACCAAAGGCGAAGGCACUCUGCUGGGCCAAUACUAACACUGAGAGACGAAAGCGAGGGGAGCAAAUGGGAUUAGAAACCCUUGUAGUCC
rnacentral:rRNA from 1 species